UUUUUUUUAUUUCUUUUUUUUUUUGCAAAGUUUCUUCGUGUGCUUUAUUGUGGCUGACACCAACUUUUGGUAUCAAUACACUGAUUGAGAUCAUUUAUCAUGGGAUGACGUAUUCUAAAUCAAACCUCGGGUAUUAGAGGGAAUAAUUUCCUUAAAGGAACAUUGUGCAUUCAGUAGGGUCAUAGUCUCAAUGGUCACACUGAUAGAGACACAUUCAAGCAACUCAUACCUGUCAUCACUUACCAAGAUAUUCAGCCCCAUAUCAAUCGUAUCGUCGAUGGUGAUAAAUCUCCAAUGCUCCCAACCCAUCUCUGAAUUACUGGCAAGGAAAAUGUAGUUUUGAGCAUUGAUGAUGAUAAUGAAGUUGAGCUACAAAAUGCAGUGAAAAAUGCAUCAGGCAAUCUGUUUCGAUUUGAUGCACAUGUAACCGAGUACACCAGCUAUGUCGAUAUUGCCACUAUGUCCUGUUCUGCAGGGAGCUGAGAGUGAAUGGAUCUAGCUUGGACGAGAUCCGACUUUGUUUUCCUGUACUAAAGAAACUGGUAAAACAUUCCUAAACAUAUUUCAUAUAAUAAGCUGCAAUAAAAAGAAUAGACAAUUGCUAUCAUGACCAAUCUUUUAGCAGUUAUAUAGAGAAGAAGUUGUUGCAGCUCA